rnacentral:rRNA from 1 species
UACGGUGGGGGCUAGCGUUGUUCGGAAUUACUGGGCGUAAAGCGCACGUAGGCGGAUCAGAAAGUCAGAGGUGAAAUCCCAGGGCUCAACCUUGGAACUGCCUUUGAAACUCCUGAUCUUGAGGUCGAGAGAGGUGAGUGGAAUUCCGAGUGUAGAGGUGAAAUUCGUAGAUAUUCGGAGGAACACCAGUGGCGAAGGCGGCUCACUGGCUCGAUACUGACGCUGAGGUGCGAAAGCGUGGGGAGCUAACAGG